rnacentral:tRNA from 1 species
GGGGUUGUGGCUCAAUGGUAGAACACUCACCUAUUACGUGGGAGGCCCUGGGUUCGAUCCUCAGCACCACA